rnacentral:rRNA from 1 species
CCUACGGGAGGCUGCAGUAGGGAAUCUUCCACAAUGGGCGAAAGCCUGAUGGAUCAACGCCGCGUGGGUGCAGAAGGUCUUCGGAUCGUCAAACCCUGUUGUUAGAGACGAAAGUGCGUGAGAGUAACUGUUCCCGUUUCGACGGUAUCUAACCAGCAAGCCACGGCUAACUACGUGCCCGCAGCCGCGGUAAUACGUAGGUGGCAAGCGUUAUCCGGAUUUAUUGGGCGUAAAGGGAACGCAGGCGGUCUUUUAAGUCUGAUGUGAAAGCCUUCGGCUUAACCGGAGUAGUGCAUUGGAAACUGGGAGACUUGAGUGCAGAAGAGGAGAGUGGAACUCCAUGUGUAGCGGUGAAAUGCGUAGAUAUAUGGAAGAACACCAGUGGCGAAAGCGGCUCUCUGGUCUGUAACUGACGCUGAGGUGCGAAAGCGUGGGUAGCAAACAGGAUUAGAUACCCCAGUAGUC